rnacentral:tRNA from 1 species
UAGACCAAAGUCCGUUGGCUUGGACGGCUAGUUGUUAACUAGUUUUUUGUGGGAUCGAGGCCCGCUGGUCUAGA